rnacentral:rRNA from 1 species
GUCCGGUGAAGUGUUCGGAUCGCGGCGACGCGGGCGGUUCGCUGCCCGCGACGUGGUGAGAAGUCCACUGAACCUUAUCAUUUAGAGGAAGGAGAAGUCGUAACAAGGUUUCCGUAGGUGAACCUGCGGAAGGAUCAUUGCCGGCGCCUCGCAAGCAGCGCGACCCGCGAACUCGUUCUCCCGACCGCUUCGGGACCCCGGUCCCCCGCGUCGGGAGGCGCCCGCCCCGUGCGGUCUCCUCCCGGUCGCAAACAACAAACCCCGGCGCGGAACGCGCCAAGGAAUACGAAAUCGCGAAGGCAAGGGCGCCCCCGUCGCACCGGAGACGGCGAUCGUGCGGGCGGCGUCGCGACCCGCUAACGAAUCCAAAACGACUCUCGGCAACGGAUAUCUCGGCUCUCGCAUCGAUGAAGAACGUAGCGAAAUGCGAUACUUGGUGUGAAUUGCAGAAUCCCGUGAACCAUCGAGUCUUUGAACGCAAGUUGCGCCCGAAGCCAUUAGGCCGAGGGCACGCCUGCCUGGGCGUCACGCACCGUUGCCCCGCGCCAGUGCCUCGUAGCAGGGCCUGCCGGGGCGAACGCUGGCUUCCCGCGAGCGGCGUCUCGCGGCUGGCUGAAAUCCGAGUCUGCGGCGGCGAGCGCCACGACGCACGGCGGACGAGUAAACCCUCGAGACCGGUCGUGCGCGCCUCCCCGCCGGGUCUGGACUCCGAGACCCUCGCUCGCUGACGAGACCUCAGGUCAGGCGGGGCUACCCGCUGAGUUUAAGCAUAUCAAUAAGCGGAGGAAAAGAAACUAACGAGGAUUCCCCUAGUAACGGCGAGCGAACCGGGGAAUUCUAA